rnacentral:rRNA from 1 species
UAACCUGCCCUGGAGUGGGGAAUAACAGCUGGAAACAGCUGCUAAUACCGCAUAAUGCAGUUGGGUCGCAUGGCUCUGACUGCCAAAGAUUUAUCGCUCUGGGAUGGACUCGCGUCUGAUUAGCUAGUUGGUGGGGUAACGGCCCACCAAGGCGACGAUCAGUAGCCGGACUGAGAGGUUGGCCGGCCACAUUGGGACUGAGACACGGCCCAGACUCCUACGGAAGGCAGCAG